rnacentral:rRNA from 1 species
AGAACGAACGCUGGCGGCGUGGAUAAGACAUGCAAGUCGAACGCGACUUAUUUUUGUUAGCAAUAACAGAGUAAGUUGAGUGGCGAAAGGGUGCGUAACACGUGGGAAUUUACCAAGAAGUGGGGAAUAGCUCGACGAAAGUCGAAUUAAUACCGCAUAUGAUCGCAAGAUCAAAGCCGGGGACCGCAAGGCCUGGCGCUUUUUGAGAAGCCCGCGGCCCAUCAGCUAGUUGGCGGGGUAAUGGCCCACCAAGACGAUGAUCGGUA